rnacentral:rRNA from 1 species
GACGAACGCUGGCGGCGUGCUUAACACAUGCAAGUCGAGCGGUAAGGCCCUUUCGGGGGUACACGAGCGGCGAACGGGUGAGUAACACGUGGGUGACCUGCCCUCAGCUCUGGGAUAAGCCUGGGAAACUGGGUCUAAUACUGGAUAUGACUCCACGGUGCAUGUCGUGGGGUGGAAAGCCUUGUGCGGCUGAGGAUGGGCCCGCGGCCUAUCAACUUGUUGGUGGGGUGAUGGCCUACCAAGGCGACGACGGGUAGCCGGCCUGAGAGGGCGACCGGCCACACUGGGACUGAGACACGGCCCAGACUCCUACGGGAGGCAGCAGUGGGGAAUCUUGCGCAAUGGGCGAAAGCCUGACGCAGCGACGCCGCGUGAGGGAUGACGGCCUGG